CCGGCCAGGCCAAAUUUGAGUGAGUGGUACUGGGGCUGCAUGCACCAGAUCAUAAUGCCUCUCUCACAAAUUUGGCCCGACUCCCCCACCGCCACCACCACCUCUCCUUAAAGGAGGCUGGGACAAACCUGAGCAGUGCUCCAACUCCAGGGUCACAAUGCCUUAGCAGGAAACAGAGCCCAGCCAGCCCCCUGGGACACAGGCCACCACUGGUAUACUUCUUUACUACUGAGUGUGGGAACCAGACAGCAUGUCCUGCUCCCCCACCAGAAGUCAGAUUUCAUCGUAUUUCACUGCAUGGCCUUCUAGCUUUCACACAGCGGCUGUUGGCAGCAAGAGCAUCACCUACAGUACACCCAAGAGAGGCACCUCAUACCAAAAUUGAAAACAUCGCUCUGCGUCUCCAGACAAUGGGCUGCGUUUUUGUGGAGAUUGCCCUUUAAAGAGAAGCUC